rnacentral:rRNA from 1 species
AGCCAUGCAUGUCUAAGUACAAGCCUCAGUAAGGUGAAACCGCGAAUGGCUCAUUAAAUCACACCUAAUCUACUGGAAAGUUACAAGUUACUUGGAUAACUGAGGUAAUUCUUGAGCUAAUACAUGCGAAAAAUCUCGACUCACGGAGAGAUGCUUUUAUUAGAUCAAAACCAAACGGCUUCGGCCGUCUCAUUGGUGACUCUGAAUAACUUUGGGCUGAUCGUAUGGCCUUGUGCCGACGACGUUUCCUUCGAAGGUGUGCCCUAUCAACUGUCGACUGUGAUAUAGACGCUCACAGUGGUUUUGACGGGUAACGGGGAAUCAGGGUUCGAUUCCGGAGAGGGAGCCUUAAAAACGGCUACCACAUCCAAGGAAGGCAGCAGGCACGCAAAUUACCCAAUGAACGAAGUUCGAGGUAGUGACGAAAAAUAACGAUACAGGACUCAUCCGAGGCCCUGUAAUUGGAAUGAGUACACUUUAAAACCGUUCCCGAGGAUCUAUUGGAGGGCAAGUCUGGUGCCAGCAGCCGCGGUAAUUCCAGCUCCAAUAGCGUAUAUUAAAGUUGUUGUGGUUAAAAAGCUCGUAGUUGGAUCUCGGCGGACAGGAGUCGGUCCGAAUGCUUUCGGCACUGGCUUGUUUGUCCGUGUGUUUUGCCAGAGGCAGGCGGGUGCUCUUCGCCGAGUGUCCGUUUGUGCUGGCAGGUUUACUUUGAAAAAAUUAGAGUGCUCAAAGCAAGCUCUUACGCUUGAAUAUUCGUGCAUGGAAUAAUAGAAUAGGAUGUCGUUUCUAUUUUGUUGGUU